rnacentral:lncRNA from 1 species
GAUUAAAAGACAGGCAAAACGAACUCUUGCGUGCUCCCUUGGUGUGUGUGUGCUUCACCGUGGGCAACGUGUGGCCGAAUGGACACCACCUUCCGCCACAGAUCGAAACGUAGAGCGCUGUUCAUUUAAUGGCAUGUCCGGUCAAACCCGAAUUUUUUUAUUUUUUUAUUUUUUACUCUGUAUCAAUGGAAAGAUCUGGUCUGUGUUCUCAAAUAUCUAGCGAGAACGGACCUCAUUCUAAUUUUUUAUCUAAAUUUCUUUGGUCGGAU